rnacentral:rRNA from 1 species
AGAGUUUGAUCCUGGCUCAGGACGAACGCUGGCGGCGUGCUUAACACAUGCAAGUCGAGCGGAAAGGCCCUUCGGGGUACUCGAGCGGCGAACGGGUGAGUAACACGUGAGCAACCUGCCCUUGGCUCUGGGAUAAGCCCGGGAAACUGGGUCUAAUACCGGAUAUGACUGCUGCCGGCAUCGGUGGUGGUGGAAAGUUU